rnacentral:rRNA from 1 species
CCUACGGGAGGCAGCAGUGAGGAAUAUUGGUCAAUGGGCGUAAGCCUGAACCAGCCAAGCCGCGUGAGGGAUGAAGGUUCUAUGGAUCGUAAACCUCUUUUAUACGGGAAUAACGUGCGGGACGUGUCCCGUUUUGUAUGUACCUUAUGCGUAAGGAUCGGCUAACUCCGUGCCAGCAGCCGCGGUAAUACGGAGGAUCCGAGCGUUAUCCGGAUUUAUUGGGUUUAAACGAUGCGUAGGCGGGCUUUUAAGUCAGCGGUGAAAGUCUGUGGCUCAACCAUAGAAUUGCCGUUGAAACUGGGAGGCUUGAGUAUGUGUGAGGCAGGCGGAAUGCGUGGUGUAGCGGUGAAAUGCUUAGAUAUCACGCAGAACCCCGAUUGCGAAGGCAGCCUGCUAAGCCAUGACUGACGCUGAUGCACGAAAGCGUGGGGAUCAAACAGGAUUAGAUACCCGAGUAGUC